UGUGUAGGCGGUUCUUUAAGUUUUGGUGUGAAAUCUCCCGGCUCAACCGGGAGGGUGCGCCGAAUACUGAGGGACUCGAGUGCGGGAGAGGAAAGUGGAAUUCCUGGUGUAGCGGUGAAAUGCGUAGAUAUCAGGAGGAACACCGGUGGUGUAGACGGCUUUCUGGACCGUAACUGACGCUGAGACACGAAAGCGUGGGUAGCGAAACAGGAUUAGAUACCCUGGUACGUCCACGCCCUAAACGAUGCAUAUUUGGUGUGGGUCAUUCAGUUGAUCCGUGCCGGAGCUAACGCGUUAAAUAUGCCGCCUGGGGAGUACAGGUCGCAAGGCUGAA
rnacentral:rRNA from 1 species